rnacentral:rRNA from 1 species
GUGGGGAAUAUUGGUCAAUGGGCGAAAGCCUGAUCCAGCCAUGCCGCGUGUGUGAAGAAGGUCUUCGGAUUGUAAAGCACUUUAAGUUGGGAGGAAGGGCAGUAAGUUAAUACCUUGCUGUUUUGACGUUACCGACAGAAUAAGCACCGGCUAACUUCGUGCCAGCAGCCGCGGUAAUACGAAGGGUGCAAGCGUUAAUCGGAAUUACUGGGCGUAAAGCGCGCGUAGGUGGUUUUGUAAGUUGGAGGUGAAAUCCCCGGGCUCAACCUGGGAACUGCCUCCAAAACUGCAUGACUAGAGUACGGUAGAGGGUAGUGGAAUUUCCUGUGUAGCGGUGAAAUGCGUAGAUAUAGGAAGGAACACCAGUGGCGAAGGCGACUACCUGGACUGAUACUGACACUGAGGUGCGAAAGCGUGGGGAGCAAACAGGAUUAGAAACCCUGGUAGUCC